rnacentral:rRNA from 1 species
UACAGAGGGUGCAAGCGUUGUUCGGAAUGACUGGGCGUAAAGGGCGCGUAGGCGGUUUGUACAGUCAGGUGUGAAAUUCCCGGGCUCAACCUGGGGGCUGCACUUGAUACGUAUGGACUGGAGUGGGGAAGAGGGUCGUGGAAUUCCCAGUGUAGAGGUGAAAUUCGUAGAUAUUGGGAAGAACACCGGUGGCGAAGGCGGCUCACUGGACCAUUACUGACGCUGAUGCUCGAAAGCUAGGGGAGCAAACAGG